AGGGGAUGAAUAUGGAAAUUCGUCAUUUUUAAAGCUGUAACAGUGAAAUUUUGUAUUUAGACACUUAAUGAGGAGCGAAAGAACAUAGGCUACUUUUUAAUAAAAAGGGUAGAAGGCGUAGAAUGCUUGAUAGAGGAGAUUAAUACCAUACUAAUGUUAUGAAUGCGAAAGUAACCCUGUUUGUGUUGAGGUUACGCUUGCACGGAUGUUUUUUUUUUGGAAUAUAACAACGUAACAAUGUAUUUUUUUAUUGAUAAGCAAUAUAUAGGAAAUUAAAGGAUAAUAAUAUAGAUAACCUUGGCUAUUUUUCAUCAUGAUUAUAAAAUGAUGAAUCGGCGGCCGUGGUUUCUUUGGAAUACAUAUCUUUAAAAAUGCUAACAGUAACAUAUUCUCAAGUAAUUCACAUUUUAGAUGACAUACGGCAGCAUUUUGACCACUAACACCACUACGCGGACGAAGUCGCGGGCAAAAGCUAGAUGUUUUCAAUAAAUGUUCAUUUGUACAUGUCAAAUAUUUGUUGUUUCUAAAUUCAAAUUCUGUAAAUAAUGAUUGACAUUUAUGCAUAAACUAUGAAAAGGGUGAAUAAACAAUUGUCUGUAUUUUUUUUAAUCUAUUGAAAAUGUUGAAAAGUGCAUUAAGCAUUAAUAGAAAUUCCUCAAAUAUUAAUUAUGCGUGCGUUCAGAAAUAAUGACAAAUUAUCAACAGUUACGCGAGUGUUCAGAAAUUUAUUUUGUGUACAUUAAAGUUUCUAUUCACGUUUUCGAACAAACGAUGCUCUUUCAAUAUAGUCUAUUGGUGUGAAUGACAUUGACAUUCGUAUUGCGCGUUUUUUAAAAUAUGCAAAAUUAAAUGUAUAUUUUUCAAUAUUUCUGAGAGAUUAUCUUAAUAUUUCUUCGAGUUUUAAAGACUAAGACGAUUUUUAUUUGCUAAAAAGUGUUUGUUAAUCAAGGUAAGUUCACAUCUUCAUUAUUGAUUUUUAGUAACUUUUGGUGACUACACAAUACUACAAUUUGGUAUACACGGUUAUGCAGAAAAUGUAUGAGAGCUUUUUAUUUUCAGUUGGAAUUUCGUUUUUAACAAUGCUACCAACCAGACGUACAAGCUUAGGCCGCAGAACUCGAAAUACGGCAAGUCAAAGAAAUAUAAGAGCAAAUCAAACUGAUGAGCAUCGCAAAGCGCGAAAUGAACUUGAACUGAAUCGAUAUCAAGAUAGAAAUGUUGUGUUUAAUCCCCACAAAGCUGCAUUCAGUUAUAAUGUAGCAAUUGAUUACAGUUCAGAGCAAAUUGUUGCUAUUGGACUAAUGAACAUUGUGUGUCCACAUUGGGAUUGAAAUUAAAAAAUGAAGCCUCUGGAUUGUGUUGCGCCAGCGGCCAAGUCAAAUUGACGCCAUUGGUACCGCCACCAGAGCCACUACAUUCGUUGGUCCAUUUUUUUACUCAUAUCCAGUAGUACAAUAAUUGCUUUCAAAUGACAUCAUUUGGGGCAACAAAAGUUAUACGAGACAAUUUUUUGCCAACUUUUAGCAAAUUCAGGGAUUCAAAUAUAUCAUCAAACAGGUUCCUUAUUGCCAGUGCCUGUUGAAGACUAUACAUUUUUGCAAAUAUAUUUUAUGGACAAUUCAGCAAGAGAAGUCGAUCAGCGUUGCGCACACAACAACUCAGUAAAGAGAUCCAUUGUGAUGAACAACUUCAAACAUUUUUCCUUCAACACAAUGAAUUAGUUGCAUUAGACCGAUGCAUUAGACAUUCACAAAUGCAUUAGACCGCAUGCCAUCAGAUAAUCACAAAAUUGUCAUCAGAGCCGAUAAGGCGCCUGCAGGACAGUGAAAUGAUUGAAUCCUAUGAAAUAAACACUAUUAUGAAAAUA